rnacentral:misc_RNA from 1 species
GUGAAUCAUCAAAUUGUUGAACGCAAAUUGCACUCUCCUCGGAGAGUAUGCCUGUUUGAGGGUCAGCCUAUAAAAAAUCGACAUCGUUGCUGUUUCACGGUGACGUUCGUCGGAAAUUUGGUCAUCUUAUAUCUUGUGGGUUUAAGCGACUUAAAGUUUUCUUUUUGAUUCAAUGAACGACUUUCAAAGUUUUUUAUCUUUA